UACGGAGGGUGCAAGCGUUAUCCGGAUUCACUGGGUUUAAAGGGUGUGUAGGCGGGCUAUUAAGUCAGUGGUGAAAUCUCCGGGCUCAACCCGGAAACUGCCAUUGAUACUAUUAGUCUUGAAUUCUGUUGAGGUAGGCAGAAUAUAUCAUGUAGCGGUGAAAUGCAUAGAUAUGAUAUAGAACACCGAUUGCGAAGGCAGCUUACUAAGCAGAUAUUAACGCUGAGGCACGAAAGCGUGGGGAUCAAACAGG
rnacentral:rRNA from 1 species